GUGAUUAUAGCUUAAUUGUAAAAGCAGAUAACUCUAAAUUAUCUUAUAAGGGUUUUACUCCCUUUAUUCACC
rnacentral:tRNA from 1 species